UACGUAGGGUGCAAGCGUUGUUCGGAAUUACUGGGCGUAAAGCGCGCGCAGGCGGUCUUCCAAGUCAGUGGUGAAAGCCCGGAGCUCAACUCCGGAACUGCCAUUGAAACUGUUAGACUUGAGGACGAGAGAGGUGAGUGGAAUUCCCAGUGUAGAGGUGAAAUUCGUAGAUAUUGGGAAGAACACCGGUGGCGAAGGCGGCUCACUGGCUCGUAUCUGACGCUCAGGCGCGAUAGCGUGGGGAUCAAACAGG
rnacentral:rRNA from 1 species